UGUGUUGUGCUGAAACCUCUCUUGAAAUUUAUUUGAAACUGUUUUGCCCCAGUUUGAGAUUGUUUGAAAUUGGUUGAAUUGUUUAGAGAUUAUUUUGACAAAGUAAUGCAAUGAGCCAAUGUAACUGUUUUUAAAAUAUGAUUGAAAAGUGAUAUUGAUAAUUGACUGUAAUGCAUUUUGAACUAAAGUCAUUUUGUAUAUAUCUGGGUUUUUCUGUUAGAAGUUUGUUAAAAUAGUGGAUUCUUAGUAUAAUAAGAUUUGGUUAGAAUAGUAGAACUUUGUUUUUGUAAUUCAUUUUGUCAUUGUCAAUUUUAUAUCUAUUUUGAAAUUUGAUAUAUCUACAAGCAUGCAUGGGCGACUCCAGCCGCAUCUGCAUAGAUGGGUGCAGGUUUUCCAUGGUGUGGUGCAUGAGGGAGCCUUACUGCUCACUCUCCUCUGCCGUCUGCAACGCUACCAU